AUUGAACGCUGGCGGCAGGCCUAACACAUGCGAGUCGAACGGUAACAGGGAUCAGCUUGCUGAUUCGCUGACGAGUGGCGGACGGGUGAGUAAUGUCUGGGAAACUGCCUGAUGGAGGGGGAUAACUACUGGAAACGGUAGCUAAUACCGCAUAACGUCGCAAGACCAAAGAGGGGGACCUUCGGGCCUCUUGCCAUCGGAUGUGCCCAGAUGGGAUUAGCUAGUAGGUGGGGUAACGGCUCACCUAGGCGACGAUCCCUAGCUGGUCUGAGAGGAUGACAAGCCACACUGGAACUGAGACACGGUCCAGACUCCUACGGGAGGCAGCAGUGGGGAAUAUUGCACAAUGGGCGCAAGCCUGAUGCAGCCAUGCCGCGUGUAUGAAGAAGGCCUUCGGGUUGUAAAGUACUUUCAGCGGGGAGGAAGGGAGUAAAGUUAAUACCUUUGCUCAUUGACGUUACCCGCAGAAGAAGCACCGGCUAACUCCGUG
rnacentral:rRNA from 1 species